rfam:Rhodopseudomonas palustris BisB5, complete genome.
UCAGUCGGCCGGACGGCCGCUCCGGCAAGCGCCGAAAGGCCGCCGGGGAGGAAAGUCCGGGCUCCAUCGACAUACGGUGCCGGAUAACGUCCGGCGGGGGCGACCCCAGGGAAAGUGCCACAGAGAACGAACCGCUUCCCCCUCCCCUCGGGGUGGGGGCGAGUAAGGGUGAAAAGGUGCGGUAAGAGCGCACCGCGUCGCCGGCAACGGAGACGGCAUGGUAAACCCCACCGGGAGCAAAACCGAAUAGGGACGGCAUCGCGGACAGUUCGCUUUCGGGCGAUAACUCCGCAGGGCGAUGUCAGGCUCGCCGUCCGGGUAGGUUGCUCGAGGCCAUGUGCAAACAUGGUCCCAGAGGAAUGGCCGUCACGUAUCGGCUGCGCAAGCAGCCGGUGCCCUCCAGAACCCGGCUUACAGGCCGACUGAUACU